rnacentral:rRNA from 1 species
CCUACGGGUGGCAGCAGUGAGGAAUAUUGGUCAAUGGACGAGAGUCUGAACCAGCCAAGUAGCGUGAAGGAUGACUGCCCUAUGGGUUGUAAACUUCUUUUAUAUGGGAAUAAAACGUUCCACGUGUGGGUUUUUGUAUGUACCAUAUGAAUAAGGAUCGGCUAACUCCGUGCCAGCAGCCGCGGUAAUACGGAGGAUCCGAGCGUUAUCCGGAUUUAUUGGGUUUAAAGGGGGCGUAGGUGGAUUGUUAAGUCAGUGGUAAAAGUUUGCGGCUCAACCGUAAAAUUGCAGUUGAAAUUGGGAGUCUUGAGUACAGUAGAGGUGGGCGGAAUGCGUGGUGUAGCGGUGAAAUGCUUAGAUAUCACGAAGAACUCCGAUUGCGAAGGCAGUUCACUGGACUGCAACUGACGCUGAGGCUCGAAAGUGUGGGUAUCAAACAGGAUUAGAUACCCUAGUAGUC